rnacentral:rRNA from 1 species
GACGAACGCUGGCGGCGUGGAUUAGGCAUGCAAGUCGAACGGUAUCAUCCUUUCGGGGAUGAGAGAGUGGCGAACGGGUGAGUAACACGUAGGUGAUCUACCCUCAAGACGGGGACAACCCAGGGAAACUUGGGCUAAUACCGGAUGUGAGCAACUUUUAGUUGUUUGAAAGGUGGCGUAAGCUGUCGCUUGGGGAUGAGCCUGCGUCCUAUUAGUUAGUUGGUGAGGUAACGGCUCACCUAGGCAAUGAUAGGUAGGCGGCCUUAACGGGUGGUCGCCCACACUGGGAUUGAGAUACGGCCCAGACUCCUACGGGAGGCAGCAGUCGAGAAUAGUCUACAAUGGUCGGAAGACUGAUAGUGCGACGCCGCGUGAACGAUGAAUCCCUUCGGGGUGUAAAGUUCUUUUAUAUGUGAGCAGUGCUUCUUAUAUUAACAGUAUGGGGAGAGAGAUAUUAGCAUAUGAAUAAGCAACGGCUAACUCCGUGCCAGCAGCCGCGGUAAA